rnacentral:lncRNA from 1 species
GGAGCCAGUAGGACGUACAUCAAAUAUGUAAAUAUACGUGUAUGAUAGAUGUCAACUACGUUGCGCCAUCUAGGUAUGUUUCAGUAUAUUUCUGAGGGUCAGACGGUAUAUUUUAUCGAUAAAUCCGCGGUCACACUGAUUUCAUUGUUUUGAUGAUCAUUUUGCCAAGUUUUGUCUGUUUUUUGUGUUUUUAGAACUAAUCUUCUGCGUCAAGCCGAUGUACAACUCACAGCGUCCGCGUCGUGGCCAUGUGGCCAUGGCGAUGUGUGCGGGUUGAAUGGUUGGGACGAAUGCCUGACUACGUGGAACAAAAACAGAAGCGUCGCAAGAACUAUGCGCUCGUACCAGAUUGAGCUAUUGGCCAUUGUUCAUACCCUGCAUGGAUAGAAUGUAAGUAUAUCAGCGGUACACAUCUAUAUAAUUGACUGACAAUCUUGUGUUUGCUACUCCCCAGUUGGCCAAUGAAGAGUCUGGCAACAACGUGAAGAAAGAUCGCCUCCUGCAUCCCCUGGACAUCUAUGCCCAUUGACUGAGCAAGUUCUACAAGGGUGGCGUCGUUGCACAGAGCAAGACGGCCGGCCUGUUCGAGACCCUCAGAGAUGCCACCGACGAGCAGGUUUGCUAUACUUAGUUGGCUCUGCUGGUUGACAACGAUUGCUUAGACUGCCUACAGCAGCGGAGCGGAACUGCCAGAUGAUCCUCAACUGCACCAUGCUAGCAUCGGCUUAGACAGACAGACCACGCACUCGCAAAGAUCCUGUGGAAAUAACUGAUGGAGCUGGAUGAGCUGGCCUUGACUUAUGGAUCCCAAUAAAUGGAACUCUACCCUUUGACGACAACGAGGAACUGUAGUCCAUUUGCAGAUUGGGCUCCACUGUGCAAGCGACUUGGUUGCAGGCGGCAGGUUAAGAUUAAGAUUAAGAUAGAUCAUAUGUAUAAUCAUAUGUAAAUACUAAUAAGUUUUACCAAUAAAAAUUGUAGCAUACUUUUA